rnacentral:rRNA from 1 species
UACAGAGGGUGCGAGCGUUGUCCGGAAUCACUGGGCGUAAAGGGCGCGUAGGCGGCGCGGUAAGCGUGCGGUGAAAGCCCGGGGCUCAACCCCGGGUCGGCCGUGCGGACUGCCGGGCUGGAGCACUGUAGAGGCAGGUGGAAUUCCGGGUGUAGCGGUGGAAUGCGUAGAGAUCCGGAAGAACACCGGUGGCGAAGGCGGCCUGCUGGGCAGUAGCUGACGCUGAAGCGCGACAGCGCGGGGAGCAAACAGG